CCGCCAUCUACGUAAGACUUGGCUUGCUCCUCCUUGCCUUCUACCAUGAUUGUGAGGCCUCUCCAGUCAUGUGGAACUGUGCCCAAAGGAGAGAGAGAAUACACUUGAACAUUCCGACUUUAAAGCUAUCUUAUGGGAUAGAACACAUUGAUUAUUUCCUCAUUUAUGGAUGCCAAAACUCAUUUCAGCUUUAUACCAGUUCUAUUAUUGGG